rnacentral:rRNA from 1 species
UGGCGGCGUGCCUAACACAUGCAAGUCGAACGAGAAAGUGGAGCAAUCCAUGAGUAAAGUGGCGACCGGGUGAGUAACACGUGACUAACCUACCUCCGAGUGGGGAAUAACUCCGGGAAACCGGGGCUAAUACCGCAUAACAUCGCAAGAUCAAAGCAGCAAUGCGCUUGGAGAGGGGGUCGCGGCUGAUUAGCUAGUUGGCGGGGUAACGGCCCACCAAGGCGAAGAUCGGUAUCCGGCCUGAGAGGGCGCACGGACACACUGGAACUGAAACACGGUCCAGACUCCUACGGGAGGCAGCAGUGGGGAAUUUUGCGCAAUGGGGGAAACCCUGACGCAGCAACGCCGCGUGGAGGAUGAAGCCCUUUGGGGCGUAAACUCCUUUCGACCAAGACGAUAAUGACGGUACUGGUGGAAGAAGCACCGGCUAACUCUGUGCCAGCAGCCGCGGUAAUACAGAGGGUGCGAGCGUUGUUCGGAAUUAUUGGGCGUAAAGGGCGCGUAGGCGGUGCGGUAAGUCACCUGUGAAAUCUCCGGGCUUAACUCGGAGCCUGCAGGCGAAACUGCCGUGCUGG